ACUUGGACCAACCUCUUCCUUUUCCUGACUGCUUAGGAAGGAUGGAAUGUAUUUCCUUCCUUCUGGGAGUGUUUGAAUGAAGAUUAGACUCUCCUUGACCAUGAAUGAAGAGCAACCAGUUUUUUAGUAUACAGUGAUUUAGACUCUGGGUCUAGAGUGUAGAUAUCAUGGGCACUGUGAAAGCACAGAAGGAGAAAAGGUUUUUAUUGGAGAAAUAUGGCAGACACCAUAGUAACCAACUGAUCAAAGGGAACAUUGGCAUUAAUGGGACAAAUCAGCAUCACGUUUCUCUUGUCAUGAAGCACUGAGAAGGCCACAGCAUUGCUUCUGAAAUAUUGCAACAAAAAUGAAUAACUUGAAUCUAAUGAUGAGGAAACAUUGGAGAAAUCCAAACCUUGGAACACGCUACAAAACAACUAACUCGUACUCUGAGAAACAUAUCAGUGGACUGGAUUCCAAACAGUGGCUCAUGCCUGUAAUUUUAACACUUUGGGAGGCCAAGGUAGGCAAAUCACUUGAGGCCAGCAGUUUGAGGCCAGCCUAGGCAACAUAGGGAGACCCCAUCUAUACAAAAAAUUAAAUAAAAUUUAUCUGAGCUUGGUGGCAUGUGCCUGUAGUCCCAUUUACUUGGGAGGCUGAAGCAGGAGGCUCCCUU
rnacentral:lncRNA from 10 species